rnacentral:rRNA from 1 species
GAUAGAACGAAUGUAGGUUAGGGAAGUCGGCAAAAUGGAUCCGUAACUUCGGGAUAAGGAUUGGCUCAGAUGAAUGGGCUACGGGGUCCUUCCUGUUGUUCUCUUGUCGGCCUACUUCCGUUUGCCAGGUUUCACGACUUGGUGGAUGGGGGGUCGGGUUGGUUUGGGAACUUGGUUGGAAUGUCUCUCACGAGACGCUCCCGUAUGCGACAAACAUUCGAAUCUGAACUGUUACUGACCAGAGAAAUCCGACUGUUUAAUUUAAACAAAGCAUUGCGAGGGUUCGAAAUGGAUGUUUACGCAAUGUGAUUUCUGCCCAGUGCUCUGAAUGUUAAAGCGUUGCAAAACGAUCAAGCGCGGGUAAACGGCGGGAGUAACUAUGACUCUCUUAAGGUAGCCAAAUGCCUCGUCAUCUAAUUUGUGACGCGCAUGAAUGGAUCAACGAGAUUUCUACUGUCCCAACUUACUGUCUAGCGAAACCACAGCCAGGGGAACGGGCCUGGAAGAGACAGCGGGGAAAGAAGACCCUGUUGAGCUUGACUCUAGUCUGAAAUUGUAAAAUGGCUCGUGAGGUGUAGCAUAGGGGGGAGGUUUCGGCCGACCGUGAAAUACCCCCACUCGCGACGCCGUUUUACUUAUUGGGUGACGGCGCGAUUUCCGCCCGCAAGGGUGGGAAAUUCUAGCAUUGUAACUCGGUUUCGGCCGAGGAGCGCAGCCCAAGAAAGUUUCUGAUGGGGAGUUUGACUGGGGCGGUACAUCUGUAAAACGAUAACACAGGUGUCCUAAGCAUAGCUCAGCUUCGAUAGAAACGAAGCGUAGAACAAAAGGGUAAAAGCUAUGUUGAUUUUGAUUUUCAGUGUGAAUACAAACCGUGAAAGCGUGGCCUAUCGAUCCUUUGCUGCUUCGAUUGUUAGCUCAGAGGUGUCAGAAAAGUUACCACAGGGAUAACUGGCUUGUGGCAGCCAAGCGUUCAUAGCGACGUUGCUUUUUGAUCCUUCGAUGUCGGCUCUUCCUAUACUUCCGUUGCAGAAGGCGGAAAGGUUCGGAUUGUUCACCCGCUAAUAGGGAACGUGAGCUGGGUUUAGACCGUCGUGAGACAGGUUAGUUUUAUCCUACUGUCGAGUUGGCAGACCAAUACAACUGCAGGUUAGUACGAGAGGAACCCUUGUAGGACACAUAUAGUUUAUGCCCUGACCGAAAGGUCAAUGGACAGAGGCCACGUGUCGCUCCGUAACGGCUGAAAGCCUCUAAGCCAGAACGGAACGUAAAAGGUCUGCCGCAUUGCUUUGCCGCGUACCACGAGUACCAAUAGGCUUCGGCCAAGACCACUUAACGAGAUUCUCGAGGGUUUGCAGAAAAUGCAGGCUUUCGACCUCGGCUUUAUAAUUACAACGCAGCAAGGCGUGAACCCCGGAAAGACGAUCCGGUAUCCUAUCAAGGUUUGUACGCACUCGAGCCUUCUUUUAGGCG